GCAUAUUUUUUACUCGGAUGGAAAGCAAGCCUGCCUCUUACACUGGACCAGAAAACUCUUUUCAACAGCUGCAGAAUCAUACUGAUUGGAUGGGGUUUUAAAGAUGCUGAGAUCUUUUCAUACUGCUCAACUGCCAGUCUCCUCACUGCGUUCCAGGAAGAGAGUCUCAAUAAGAAUGCUGCCUCGGGUCGUUUGACUCCAGGCUGAAGAGGGUUAGUCAAAUCAAAGUUUAAACUUUACCAACCUUUUGGAGUCUGAGAAAGCAAAAGUCAAAAGGCAAGGGAUGCCAUAACUAAUUACGUGAAUUAGAAGGAAUUUGAAGAAGAGGAACCAAACAAGGCAGGGUGUUAACCAUGGGAGAUACAAAAUGAAUAUGGCAUGGCCCUGCCCUCCAAGCUUACCCUCAGUUCAGGGAAAUACAUCAACUGUUACAUAUGCUGAAGUGUGAAAGGCACCAUAAAAUAAAUAUAAAAGGGAAAUAGAAGGUGGACAAAGGGGCCGUGAUCUACUCUGAGUCUAACAAAAACAAUUCAUUACAAUCAUGUAGGGUUGUUCCCUGAAAUGACCAACUCUCCUAGGGAAGAGUGAAAUCGAAUCUAAAUUAACAGAUACAGUUGAGUUAAAACACAAGAAUGGGGAUUUUGAAGAAGCAAUCAAAUCACACCAGUCCCAAGAAGGUAAUGAUCUGCAACCGUGAACACGAGACUUGGCUAAGAAUGAAACGUCUAUCACGCCCUCCAAAUGUGAAUACGAUCAGGGGAACGUGAAUCCACCUUGCUGCAUACAACUGUCUUCUUAAACAAUGCUCCCUGGCCUUGAACAGCCACUUAUUAAAAAUGUCUUAAAAAGU